UACGAAGGGGGCUAGCGUUGUUCGGAAUCACUGGGCGUAAAGGGCGCGUAGGCGGCUAUUCAAGUCGGGGGUGAAAGCCUGUGGCUCAACCACAGAAUUGCCUUCGAUACUGUUUGGCUUGAGACCGGAAGAGGACAGCGGAACUGCGAGUGUAGAGGUGAAAUUCGUAGAUAUUCGCAAGAACACCAGUGGCGAAGGCGGCUCACUGGCCCGAUACUGACGCUGAGGCACGAAAGCGUGGGGAGCAAACAGGG
rnacentral:rRNA from 1 species